rnacentral:lncRNA from 1 species
CUUGGUUAUCCUCCCCACAGGUGAUAUGUGGGCAUGAUGGACCCUGAGUUUCACAUUCCCCAGAGUGGCUUCCGUUAAUUUGAUGCUUUCUGCCUCUGAAGAUGGGAGGAUGUCUCAUCUCAGCCUCGUUUCUGCAUCUUGAUUUGCACGACUUGGCUCUCUGAAACAGAAGCCCUCCGCUUUUCUUCCCAGUCUGCUGAGGAGCAAAGGGAAGGCCACGGACUUUUCCAGCAUGCUUUCAAAUUUGUAUGAAUCCUGAAGUCACUGAGUUUAGUGUCUUCCAUCACCAGUUCCACCUCCAAUUCAACAGAGGAAGAUGAUUCCCAGAAAGGAAAAGGACUUCUCCAAGACUUGUCUAUGAUAAUGAAGUCACCUGGUAAAAAUCUAGAUUCUCACAGCCCUUCCAGACCUUCUGCAUCUGAAUGGACAGGAGAGGGGCCUGUCCAACCUCCAACAGACAGGUUGGAGGCUGAUCAAGGACCUUGGGAGCAUCAGGCCACUGAAGAAACAGCAAACAGCAAUGAAUGGCAGGUGAAGCGUGGAAGAUGAAUGAAGGGCCCAACUGUGAUCUGCCUACUUUUCCAGUUAUCAAAGCAAACUGGAUGCAAAGAGGACAGUUGACAACAUAUGAGAGCAGGUUUACAUUUCAAGAGCAGGUCUGACGCCCAGCUGAAGCAUUAUUUUAAAAAAGCAGUUGAGUCCCCCUUGCGUAGAUGCUGUUGUAUAUAUUGUAUAGAUACAUUAUACAAAUGUGG